rnacentral:rRNA from 1 species
GGGUUGUGAGGUUAAGCGACUAAGCGUACACGGUGGAUGCCCUGGCAGUCAGAGGCGAUGAAGGACGUGCUAAUCUGCGAUAAGCGUCGGUAAGGUGAUAUGAACCGUUAUAACCGGCGAUUUCCGAAUGGGGAAACCCAGUGUGUUUCGACACACUAUCAUUAACUGAAUCCAUAGGUUAAUGAGGCGAACCGGGGGAACUGAAACAUCUAAGUACCCCGAGGAAAAGAAAUCAACCGAGAUUCCCCCAGUAGCGGCGAGCGAACGGGGAGCAGCCCAGAGCCUGAAUCAGUGUGUGUGUUAGUGGAAGCGUCUGGAAAGGCGCGCGAUACAGGGUGACAGCCCCGUACACAAAAAUGCACAUACUGUGAGCUCGAUGAGUAGGGCGGGACACGUGGUAUCCUGUCUGAAUAUGGGGGGACCAUCCUCCAAGGCUAAAUACUCCUGACUGACCGAUAGUGAACCAGUACCGUGAGGGAAAGGCGAAAAGAACCCCGGCGAGGGGAGUGAAAAAGAACCUGAAACCGUGUACGUACAAGCAGUGGGAGCACGCUUAGGCGUGUGACUGCGUACCUUUUGUAUAAUGGGUCAGCGACUUAUAUUCUGUAGCAAGGUUAACCGAAUAGGGGAGCCGAAGGGAAACCGAGUCUUAACUGGGCGUUAAGUUGCAGGGUAUAGACCCGAAACCCGGUGAUCUAGCCAUGGGCAGGUUGAAGGUUGGGUAACACUAACUGGAGGACCGAACCGACUAAUGUUGAAAAAUUAGCGGAUGACUUGUGGCUGGGGGUGAAAGGCCAAUCAAACCGGGAGAUAGCUGGUUCUCCCCGAAAGCUAUUUAGGUAGCGCCUCGUGAAUUCAUCUCCGGGGGUAGAGCACUGUUUCGGCAAGGGGGUCAUCCCGACUUACCAACCCGAUGCAAACUGCGAAUACCGGAGAAUGUUAUCACGGGAGACACACGGCGGGUGCUAACGUCCGUCGUGAAGAGGGAAACAACCCAGACCGCCAGCUAAGGUCCCAAAGUCAUGGUUAAGUGGGAAACGAUGUGGGAAGGCCCAGACAGCCAGGAUGUUGGCUUAGAAGCAGCCAUCAUUUAAAGAAAGCGUAAUAGCUCACUGGUCGAGUCGGCCUGCGCGGAAGAUGUAACGGGGCUAAACCAUGCACCGAAGCUGCGGCAGCGACGCUUAUGCGUUGUUGGGUAGGGGAGCGUUCUGUAAGCCUGCGAAGGUGUGCUGUGAGGCAUGCUGGAGGUAUCAGAAGUGCGAAUGCUGACAUAAGUAACGAUAAAGCGGGUGAAAAGCCCGCUCGCCGGAAGACCAAGGGUUCCUGUCCAACGUUAAUCGGGGCAGGGUGAGUCGACCCCUAAGGCGAGGCCGAAAGGCGUAGUCGAUGGGAAACAGGUUAAUAUUCCUGUACUUGGUGUUACUGCGAAGGGGGGACGGAGAAGGCUAUGUUGGCCGGGCGACGGUUGUCCCGGUUUAAGCGUGUAGGCUGGUUUUCCAGGCAAAUCCGGAAAAUCAAGGCUGAGGCGUGAUGACGAGGCACUACGGUGCUGAAGCAACAAAUGCCCUGCUUCCAGGAAAAGCCUCUAAGCAUCAGGUAACAUCAAAUCGUACCCCAAACCGACACAGGUGGUCAGGUAGAGAAUACCAAGGCGCUUGAGAGAACUCGGGUGAAGGAACUAGGCAAAAUGGUGCCGUAACUUCGGGAGAAGGCACGCUGAUAUGUAGGUGAAGCGACUUGCUCGUGGAGCUGAAAUCAGUCGAAGAUACCAGCUGGCUGCAACUGUUUAUUAAAAACACAGCACUGUGCAAACACGAAAGUGGACGUAUACGGUGUGACGCCUGCCCGGUGCCGGAAGGUUAAUUGAUGGGGUCAGCGCAAGCGAAGCUCUUGAUCGAAGCCCCGGUAAACGGCGGCCGUAACUAUAACGGUCCUAAGGUAGCGAAAUUCCUUGUCGGGUAAGUUCCGACCUGCACGAAUGGCGUAAUGAUGGCCAGGCUGUCUCCACCCGAGACUCAGUGAAAUUGAACUCGCUGUGAAGAUGCAGUGUACCCGCGGCAAGACGGAAAGACCCCGUGAACCUUUACUAUAGCUUGACACUGAACAUUGAGCCUUGAUGUGUAGGAUAGGUGGGAGGCUUUGAAGUGUGGACGCCAGUCUGCAUGGAGCCGACCUUGAAAUACCACCCUUUAAUGUUUGAUGUUCUAACGUUGACCCGUAAUCCGGGUUGCGGACAGUGUCUGGUGGGUAGUUUGACUGGGGCGGUCUCCUCCUAAAGAGUAACGGAGGAGCACGAAGGUUGGCUAAUCCUGGUCGGACAUCAGGAGGUUAGUGCAAUGGCAUAAGCCAGCUUGACUGCGAGCGUGACGGCGCGAGCAGGUGCGAAAGCAGGUCAUAGUGAUCCGGUGGUUCUGAAUGGAAGGGCCAUCGCUCAACGGAUAAAAGGUACUCCGGGGAUAACAGGCUGAUACCGCCCAAGAGUUCAUAUCGACGGCGGUGUUUGGCACCUCGAUGUCGGCUCAUCACAUCCUGGGGCUGAAGUAGGUCCCAAGGGUAUGGCUGUUCGCCAUUUAAAGUGGUACGCGAGCUGGGUUUAGAACGUCGUGAGACAGUUCGGUCCCUAUCUGCCGUGGGCGCUGGAGAACUGAGGGGGGCUGCUCCUAGUACGAGAGGACCGGAGUGGACGCAUCACUGGUGUUCGGGUUGUCAUGCCAAUGGCACUGCCCGGUAGCUAAAUGCGGAAGAGAUAAGUGCUGAAAGCAUCUAAGCACGAAACUUGCCCCGAGAUGAGUUCUCCCUGACCCUUUAAGGGUCCUGAAGGAACGUUGAAGACGACGACGUUGAUAGGCCGGGUGUGUAAGCGCAGCGAUGCGUUGAGCUAACCGGUACUAAUGAACCGUGAGGCUUAACCUUACAACGCCGAAGCUGUU